UUAUCGCUCCCUUGUUUAAACUUUUGAGAUGGUACUCAAGAGGCCAAUAGAGAGAGAGGGGGGGUUGUUAUCGCUUUCUCAUUUAAACUUUUGAGACAAUACUCAAGAGGCCCACAAAAAAAAGAGAAAGAGAGUACUCAAGAGGCCCAUAGAGAGAAAGGGGGGGGUUGUUAUCGCUCUCUCAUUUAAACUUUUGAGACAAUACUCGAGAGGCCCACAAAAAAAAAAAAGAGAAAGAGAGUACUCAAGAGGCCCAUAGAGAGAGAGAGGGGGGUGUUAUCGCUCUCAUUUGAACUUUUGAGACAAUACUCAAGAGGCCCACAGAAAGAGAGAAAGAGAGAGG
rnacentral:lncRNA from 1 species